rnacentral:rRNA from 1 species
AUUGAACGCUGGCGGCAUGCUUUACACAUGCAAGUCGAACGCGAAAGGGGGCAACCCUGAGUAGAGUGGCGCACGGGUGAGUAAUACAUCGGAACGUGUCCUGUAGUGGGGGAUAACGCAGCGAAAGCUGUGCUAAUACCGCAUACGUCCUACGGGAGAAAGUGGGGGACCGCAAGGCCUCACGCUAUAGGAGCGGCCGAUGUCGGAUUAGCUAGUUGGUGGGGUAAAGGCUCACCAAGGCGACGAUCCG